CGCACAUGUAUUUUAAAUUUUUAAUANUUGUCUUAGGUAAAUUAUUUCCGCUAUAUGGGUGGUUUUAAUCUGAGAGAAGCUAUCAAUCUGUGUUUCAAAGAAGGACUGAAAGACUCUUUGACACCAUCAUUCACUUGGUGGGGUCGCAAAGGAGGACAAAGACCUUUAUAUAACACUCGUCUUGUUAUGGCAAUCUAUGAUGGUGUGUGCAAUAAUUGUCAUUUUCAAAAACCAACACGCUCUGAAUUUCAAGCACAAAUGAAGGAGGNUCUUCGAACAGCCAAGGAAAGAUUACGGCAUAGAGUACGAGGUGUACGACAGCCAACAAGAGGAAGGAUUCGCCGCAAUUUGUGGAGUGACGAACAACGUUCGGAANCGGAAGAAACAAACACUGACGAAAAUGAAUAAAAUUUUUAGGUACACUGAUGCACUCAAGAUUAAAAGACACAUCCUACCUACACACAAAUUCAUCUUUUUUCCGAAGAGGAGAGAAGGAAAUUGGCACUAUUCAGCGCCCAUUUUUAAAUUAUUUAUACUUUGGAUAUUUCUCCGGUGUUUCGCAAUAUCUAUCGGCACUUUUCAGUGCUAUAAAAUAUUCUUUUCCAGGACAUGCAUUAUGAAACUUUGAAAUAAAUUCCGAUCAGAAUUGUUUUGUUAUUGUUUAGAUUUCUAUAAUGUUCCUUACGAAA